rnacentral:misc_RNA from 1 species
AUUUUUUAGAGAUCAAAUCAAAAAGAUUAAAUGCUACCUCGAUGUUGAAUUAAGAAAACAUCUAAUAGAAGAAAAUUAGAUUAUAGGUCUGUUCGACCUUUAAAUUCUUACAUGAUUUGAGUUAAGACCGGUGUGAGCCAGGUUGGUUUCUAUCUUCAUAAUAGAAGUUUUUAUAGUACGAAAGGACCUAAAAACUUAAUUUUAUUAAUUAAUUAGCUUAUGAAAAGCAAGUAUUUUGAAAAUACUAGAAAGAUUUAAAGAUUUAUUAAUUUUAUGU